ensembl:snRNA U6 U6 spliceosomal RNA
ACUGCUUCAGGAGUACACACUAAAGUUAGAAUGAUAAAAAGAAGAUCAGCAUGGCCACUCAGCAAGAUGAAACAUUCCAUAUUUUGUCUUAAAAAAUUGCC